UAUCUGAGAUCUAGCCAUCCAAAUGACAGGAGAAGGCUUCCCACUUAGGGAAUAUAUGGUGCAAAUUAAUAACUUAAUUUUUCCUUUCUUCAAAAAGAAAAGCAGGCUAACCUGGAUCAGUAUCUGUGGACGGCCAUGAUAAUUCCAAGCAGAUACAGGAUCUCCGCGGUAGCCCAGACUUGCCUCUCUUCUUAGUAUUCGGUAUGGGCUAGACUAAGUGGCAACCACUUAAAUCUUCUGACUUCUCUAAAUGCCAUUCUUAAAUACUUGAUGCCUUCCGGGCACAGGUGCUUUAGAUAUAUGAACACCGUGGGAUAGCAGGAUACAGCUAUGUAGAAUUUGAAUCCAGUUGUAGAUCUAAGUCAAACUCAUCUAUGCAGAAGCUUUUUCCAAAACAAAAUGAGUCUUUUAACAGUGGCGUGGUUUUAGCCUAUUUGCAUUAUCCAGGCUGAGGGAAACAGAAAUUAACCUCUAGCGCUAUCUGGUUCUGUGCCUUCCAUGAAGCGGCAAUGGCAUACCCGUAAGAUCAAGGCAGCCAAAGAGCCCUUCCCAUUGACACUUUUAGGUCACAUACAAUUAUUCUGAAUGGCCUCAAAAACACUGACCAAAAAAUGUUAAGUCCACAAAAUCAAUCUCCAUUUUUUUUGGUGGGUUUAUAAAAACUCAAAUGUAACUUUAACAAUUGGCAGAUUUGGUUCUGCUAAUGCGGACGUUAAGUGGAUCUAGAAUUUCCAUAGGAAAACACCAGCUGAAUCACAACCCAUCACACAUUCCCUUGUCUCUAAAGCCAGGCUGUAUAUAUGAAAAAUACUUCAGAGAAAUAUAUGCAGAUGUUAUGACACUCCAUCUCACAAGCACCAACUGGGAAAAAUUAAUCCUACUUUGAACAUACCUGUAAGAACUAGGGUAUGAGUUCAUUCACCCUCAUUCCUCAGGUCCUAACUGCAAAAAAUGCCCUGGGACCAAGGCACCAGCCUCUGUAUUUGCAUAUCCUACUCUGCAUCAGGAGUAACAAGCCAGCAAGUACAGACACAGUUUUAACAACAGUACAUGUCUGUUGGCACUUCUUACAUGAUCUGGCAACAGAUCAAUCCCUUGGCAGUGAGGUAACCCUGAUGUCAACCAAUGUUAUAGAGCCACUGCAACAUGCAGUAUGUGAUGAAAAGGGCAGGUCCAUCUGUCCCCAUUACAGUAGCACUUUUUAAUAUCUACUAUAUUCUGCAUUGAAGUAAGUUGUAGAGACGCUUCCUUUUUAUGUUUAAAAUGCAGGAACCACUUGAAAGUCCAUUAACUUUUAAAUAAAAUUAAAAAUUAAGACCAAGGCCUGUCAUGGACAAGGCUAUUUUAUGACCUCCUUUGUAAACAUAAUGGGUGGGAAGAAGAGAAGCACUGACUAAUCCAAUUCCUGAGGGUGAUAACUAUAGGGGAUUUGAAGUUUUAAUUGAUUUUUUUAAUCCACUCAUUUUUCUCUCCCCCUUCUCCAAAAUAUGCAUUAGCAUAAAGUGUCACACAAACGCUUUGGUAGGAAUUUUUCCCUCUUUUCUUGUGCUAAACUUCUCUGUCUUACAGAAAGUCCAAGUUGCCCAUUCAUCUUUUAAACAAUUUGCCUGGCAUUUUUGAACUCUCCAUAGAUUCCUGUCUUUACCUUUAAAUUAUAAGCUGAAGUUUUAUUUUUUGCAGAAAGACUGCUAUUAAGCUGUGCUGAUUUUUUUUUUUUGUCCUGAUCAAAUAGUGUUAAUUUCUACUACCACAUCGUACAUGGCUAGGAGUAGUAUAAAAAAAGAAUGUGGUAGUAUUGUAUUUGCUUUAAACACUGACAAAGCUAUAAAGAAAAAUGCAUAUGCAAAGUUUUACUUUCCUAAUAGGAACACUGGCAUUAGCAAAUAGUAUAUUUGAACCAAUAGGAAAUAUUACUUUGUAGUAGCAAAUACUUUGUAAAUAAAAACUUGUUAUUUUUUUAAUGGAAAUUUUAUAGAAGAAGCUAUUUCUGUAUACUCAAUUUAUCCCAUGUUUACUAAAAAUGCUGCAAGUGGGAAUUUUACAUUGCAAAAUGGGGGUGGGGAGCAGACAUGUCUGACUGAAGUGAAAACUAUGUAUGCUUUGGAGAAAAACAUCCAGUUGUCUGUGAACAGGAACAUAAAGCUUAACUGUAGAGGAACUGAAUAAAAGAAUUUCAAGGCAA
ensembl:lncRNA